rnacentral:rRNA from 1 species
CAGCCGCCGCGGGAAUACAGAGGGUGCAAGCGUUGUCCAGAAUUAUUGGGCGUAAAGGGCUCGCAGGCGGUUUCUUAAGUCUGAUGUGAAAGCCCCCGGCUCAACCGGGGAGGGUCAUUGGAAACUGGGAAACUUGAGUGCAGAAGAGGAGAGUGGAAUUCCACGUGUAGCGGUGAAAUGCGUAGAGAUGUGGAGGAACACCAGUGGCGAAGGCGACUCUCUGGUCUGUAACUGACGCUGAGGAGCGAAAGCGUGGGGAGCGAACAGGAUUAGAUACCCCCGUAGUCCCUGUCUCUAUACA